GAUGAACGCUGGCGGCGUGCCUAAUACAUGCAAGUCGAGCGAACGGACGAGAAGCUUGCUUCUCUGAUGUUAGCGGCGGACGGGUGAGUAACACGUGGAUAACCUACCUAUAAGACUGGGAUAACUUCGGGAAACCGGAGCUAAUACCGGAUAAUAUUUUGAACCGCAUGGUUCAAAAGUGAAAGACGGUCUUGCUGUCACUUAUAGAUGGAUCCGCGCUGCAUUAGCUAGUUGGUAAGGUAAUGGCUUACCAAGGCAACGAUGCAUAGCCGACCUGAGAGGGUGAUCGGCCACACUGGAACUGAGACACGGUCCAGACUCCUACGGGAGGCAGCAGUAGGGAAUCUUCCGCAAUGGGCAAAAGCCUGACGGAGCAACGCCGCGUGAGUGAUGAAGGUCUUCGGAUCGUAAAACUCUGUUAUUAGGGAAGAACAUAUGUGUAAGUAACUGUGCACAUCUUGACGGUACCUAAUCAGAAAGCCACGGCUAACUACGUG
rnacentral:rRNA from 1 species